UACGUAGGGUGCGAGCGUUGUCCGGAAUUACUGGGCGUAAAGAGCUCGUAGGUGGUUUGUCGCGUUGUUCGUGAAAACUCACAGCUCAACUGUGGGCGUGCGGGCGAUACGGGCAGACUGGAGUACUGCAGGGGAGACUGGAAUUCCUGGUGUAGCGGUGGAAUGACGCAGAUAUCAGGAGGAACACCGGUGGCGAAGGCGGGUCUCUGGGCAGUAACUGACGCUGGAGGAGCGAAAGCGUGGGGAGCGAACAGG
rnacentral:rRNA from 1 species